AGGACGAACGCUGGCGGCGUGCUUAACACAUGCAAGUCGAACGGAAAGGCCCUUCGGGGUACUCGAGUGGCGAACGGGUGAGUAACACGUGGGUGAUCUGCCCUGCACUUCGGGAUAAGCCUGGGAAACUGGGUCUAAUACCGGAUAUACCUCAUGGGAUGCAUGUUUUGUGGGGGAAAGCUUUUGCGGUGUGGGAUGGGCCCGCGGCCUAUCAGCUUGUUGGUGGGGUGAUGGCCUACCAAGGCGUCGACGGGUAGCCGGCCUGAGAGGGUGUCCGGCCACACUGGGACUGAGAUACGGCCCAGACUCCUACGGGAGGCAGCAGUGGGGAAUAUUGCACAAUGGGCGCAAGCCUGAUGCAGCGACGCCGCGUGGGGGAUGACGGCCUUCGGGUUGUAAACCUCUUUCAGUAGGGACGAAGCGCAAGUGACGGUACCUACAGAAGAAGCACCGGCCAACUACGUGCCAGCAGCCGC
rnacentral:rRNA from 1 species